UCAACUGACCGGCCGGCUCCGAGCAGUCAUUGUUUGCAUCAAACAAUGGAUGUACUGGGAGCCUGGAACGUCGGGAAUCUGCCUUUCGGAUCGCUUGCCAUAGUCCAGUUAUAUUGAAGUGUAGGUAAAUUGACAUGGCCGCGAAACCAGCGGUUCAACUCCAUUUGAAGAUACACUUUGUUCAAAGUUGGGACAUCGACUGUUUUAGCCAGCUGUGAAACUGUUUGGUUGUAAACUGUUUCGAUUGGAGGGCGUAUGGGAACAGCGGAUAAAGGAUAAAGAGGGAGUGGGGUGGCCAUAAAUUCAGAAGCGAGAUUCUUGUACACGUCACUUUGAAAUAAAGUUGUUGCUGCUUAGAAUAAAGCCUACGUUGAGAGCACUUGGAUGUAUACGACAGGGUUAUUGCUUUGGAGCGGCAAUGUUACCGCAGCAAUGUUAACCGUCAGGAUCAUCGAUAAACUGAACA